UACAGAGUGGUAGUACAGAGUGGUCUGGUAGUACAGAGUGGUCUAGUAGUACAGAGUGGUCUAGUAGUACAGAGUGGUUUGGUAGUACAGAGUGGUCUAGUAGUACCGAGUGGUCUAGUAGUACAGAGUGGUCUAGUAGUACAGAGUGGUUUAGUACUACAGAGUGGUUUAGUACUACAAAGUGGUCUGGUAGUACAGAGUGGUCUAGUAGUACAGAGUGGUCUAGUAGUACAGAGUGGUCUGGUAGUACAGAGUGGUCUAGUAGUACAGAGUGGUAGUACAGAGUGGUCUGGUAGUACAGAGUGGUCUAGUAGUACACAGUGGUCUAGUAGUACAGAGUGGUCUAGUAGUACAGAGUGGUUUGGUAGUACAGAGUGGUCUAGUAGUACCGAGUGGUCUAGUAGUACAGAGUGGUCUAGUAGUACAGAGUGGUUUAGUACUACAGAGUGGUUUAGUACUACAGACUGGUCUGGUAGUACAGAGUGGUCUGGUAGUACAGAGUGGUCUAGUAGUACAGAGUGGUUUAGUAGUACAGAGUGGUCUAGUAGUACAGAGUGGUCUAGUAGUACAGAGUGGUUUAGUAGUACAGAGUGGUCUGGUAGUACAGAGUGGUCUGGUAGUACAGAGUGGUCUGGUAGUACAGAGUGGUCUGGUAGUACAGAGUGGUCUGGUAGUACAGAGUGGUCUGGUAGUACAGAGUGGUCUAGUAGUACAGAGUGGUCUGGUAGUACAGAGUGGUCUGGUAGUACAGAGUGGUCAAGUAGUACAGAGUGGUCUAGAAGUACAGAGUGGUCUAGAAGUACAGAGUGGUCUGGUAGUACAGAGUGGUCUGGUAGUACAGAGUGGUCUAGUAGUACAGAGUGGGCUGGUAGUACAGAGUGGUCUGGUAGUACAGAGUGGUCUAGUAGUACAGAGUGGUCUAGAGGUUCAGAGUGGUCUGGUAGUACAGAGAGGUCUGGUAGUACAGAGAGGUCUGGUAGUACAGAGUGGUCUAGAGGUUCAGAGUGGUCUAGAGGUUCAGAGUGGUCUAGUAGUACAGAGUGGUCAAGUAGUACAGAGUGGUCUGGUAGUACAGAGUGGUCUAGUAGUACAGAGUGGUCUAGAGGUUCAGAGUGGUCUGGUAGUACAGAGUGGUCUGGUAGUACAGAGUGGUCUAGUAGUACAGAGUGGUCUAGUAGUACAGAGUGGUCUGGUAGUACAGAGUGGUCUAGUAGUACAGAGUGGUUUAGUAGUACAGAGUGGUCUGGUAGUACAGAGUGGUCUGGUAGUACAGAGUGGUUUGGUAGUACAGAGUGGUUUAGUAGUACAGAGUGGUUUGGUAGUACAGAGUGGUCUGGUAGUACAGAGUGGUCUGGUAGUACAGAG
rnacentral:lncRNA from 8 species